AUUGAACGCUGGCGGCAGGCCUAACACAUGCAAGUCGAACGAGUGGCGGACGGGUGAGUAAUGUCUGGGAUACUGCCCGAUGGAGGGGGAUAACUACUGGAAACGGUAGCUAAUACCGCAUACCAUCGGAUGUGCCCAGAUGGGAUUAGCUAGUAGGUGGGGUAACGGCUCACCUAGGCGACGCGCCCUAGCUGGUCUGAGAGGAUGACGAGCCACCCUGGAACUGGGACACGGUCCAGACUCGUACGGGAGGCAGCGGUGGGGAAUAUUGCACAGUGGGCGCAAGCCUGAUGCGGCCAUGCCGCGUGUAUGAGGAGGGCCUUCGGGUUGUAAAGUACGUUCAGCGAGGAGGCGUUACUCGCAGAAGAAGCACCGGCUAACUCCGUGCCAGCCGCCGCGGUAAUAC
rnacentral:rRNA from 1 species